UCUCCUAACUAUGGGCGGCCCACUGCCAGACGGUUACAGGCAUCACCAUCAGUUUGUUGCCCCCUCCGCCUAUAAAAGGGGGAACCCCAGAUACGUUAUUCUAUAAGCUCUCGUUUUUACCUACAAACUCUACUAAAAUUUUUGUUCGAGCACUCCAUUCUUGUUGAGGCAGAAAACUGACUUGAGCAUCAGAGGGUCUUGCC
rnacentral:lncRNA from 1 species